rnacentral:lncRNA from 1 species
UGAGCCUCUUGAAUUUCCUCGCCUAUUGCAUCAUCAAUCUUUUCUGUUAUUUUGUUACUUGAGGUAUCUUCUGGAUCUAGGAUUUGCUCCACAGUGGAACUUCUUUCUGUGUCUUGACAUGGAGCAAAUGCCUUGAUAUCCUCAGCUGCUACUUGAAAGGAGUCAAUAGGAUCCUCAACCUCUGCUACUUCCUCAACCAACGUGCUUUCUGUGAUGUCAUCUUCUCGAUCAUCUGAUAAUGAUGUGCUUUCGCUAACCUUUACCAAAUGUUCUUCCUGUUCCAGUAGUAAUCCAUCUACUUGGUUUCGGGAAUCUUCUGUAGUGUCCUCAUCUGGAGUGGCUGCAAAGUUCUGCAUCCAAGUACAAAACAUUUGUUCAAUAUGUUUAUCUUGCAGAGAUAAAUUCUUGUUAACUUUUUUCCAGCAUAACAUAGCAAUUGAUUUUUCCAAAAUUUGUCCACUAAUUUUUUGAUAAUAAAGUCAGCUUACUACUAUGAUUCUCACCUUAUCCUCAAGAGUUUCUUUCUUGAGAUCAGUUGAAUCAAGUGUUUUUGUACAUUUUUCGUCAUAUAUGGUUUCAUGAGAAUCUGUAGUCGGGGCUUGCUCUUCUAAAUGGCUUGCUUCUCUAUCUUGACCUGAAGAAGUAUCUUUAAUAUCCUCAUCUGCUGCCUGCAAUGACUCAAUAUGUACUUCUUCCUUUACCGGAGCACAUUCUAUUUUUUCCUCAUCUUCAUGCAAGUUGGCUUUUACAGUGUUUUCAUAUGCAAAUUUGGCCUCAUGGGUAGUAGUUGGUUUAUCGUCGUUGAACUUUUCUGCUGGAACUUCUUCAGAAGAAGAUUCUUGUAAGCCAUCCACUUGAAUUGGUGACUUAUCCUCGCUGUCUUCAUUUGGAACGCUUAUUACGGCAUCCUGCAAUGAUAAUAACUUAAGAACGUGAUUGAGCUAAAAGAAGAAAUAUAUUAUUGAGUUCUCUUUUCAUUAAGAACACAUAGGUGUUAAUUAUCCUUGUUUGUCUUUAAACUACUUAACAACAAUUGAUAGUGCCCUUUCUACUUCUUCUUCAGGACUUACAUUGUUUUUGUUAGCAGCAUCAACUGUUUUUUUCUGUGUUUCAUCACAUGUCUCUUGUGGAUCAGCAGUUAGGAUUUGCACCUCAGUAGGCAUUUCCACUUUUUCUUCUUCUUUGACUGGACCACUUUCAGUGGACGACACCAUUGGAGCUUCCGAAGAAGGUAUGUUUUCACUCUCAUUCAUGUGCUCUUCUUUGUCCUCAUAUGGAGUAGUAUUAUUUGCAAUAUUCUGCUGCAAGUCCAGAUCAUUUGUUAAAUCUAUUCCAUAUAUGGAAUCAUAUUGGUAACAGCUUGUUUCUUGGGGAUGAUUGAAACAAGAGUAUGUUACUAUUGUAUCAAUUCUAUAAUGAUGAUAAAACAAGAACAUGAAAGAAAAUGCAAAUUAGUUUUUCUUUUGCCUAGUAGAAGAAAUAGAGAAGGCUUACGCUAAACUGCUGCUAACCAACCUAAAUAUGCUAAUGCAUAGAGUUAUGUUCGCAUCAAGGAAAUUUAGUAAUUCAUGCAAAACUAGGCGUGUCAUGAUCAAGAUAAUUAAUAAGUUUGAUUCUCACCUCCAAACCAGUUUCACUAUCAGCUAUCUUCUCUUUGUUAUCAUCUCUGAUUCCUUCAGGAUUUGCAAUGGGACUUUGCUCAUCUGGAGAACUUAUUUCUCUCUCUCGACUUAAAUGGGGUGUCUCAAUCUCCUGAGCUGCCUCUUGCAAUGACUCGGGGGAUGCUUCUUCUUCGAUCAAACUGCCUUGAGUGAUUUUUGUUGACUCCUCAAUGUUGGCAUUCCCAGCCGAAGCUUCGUUCAAUGGCUUUUGUGAGCCAACUUCUUCAAUCGGCAUGUCAUCUUCCUUGCCACCCAAAAUAUCUAUUCCAAUAUCCUGCUGCAAGAAUAAACAUCAUAAAAGUUCUUAUUCGCCAAAACUCUGGAGAAGGAUACAGUUCACCAUCUUCUUUUAGAGUGUGUUCUCUUUGGUUGAUAAAUUAAUCUUGGAGUGAAAAAGAAGGAAUAAGAAAUGGUGAAAUUCAUUUUUGUAGAAAAUGAAGAAAAAGAAAAGAGGCAUUUGAAGGGAGAAAUUUUUGUUAUCCCUUAUUUUCCCAUGAUAAAUUUAUCAAUCAAAGAGAACACACCCUAAGGGUCAAGUUCAGCCUUUUAUUGUUUACUUGCAUAUCAUAUAACCAACUAAAAUAUCAUAAUCCGUUGUUAUGUUUGCAUCAGGAGAAUUUAGUUUGAUUCUCACCUUAUCCGUGGGAGUUUGAUCCUCCUCCCCUGUUGCAUUAUCAGGUAUCUCCUCUUUGUUGUCAUGCAUGAUUGCUUCAGGAUUUGUAGCGGGGCUUUCCUCAUCAACAGAACUUGCUUCCCUGUCUCGACUUAAAGGAGGCGUUUCAAUAUCCUGAGCUGCUACUUGCAAUGACUUGAGGGGUUCCUCUUUAAUGGUCAAACAGCCUUCACUAACUUUUGGUGACUCCUUAUCAUUGGCACUCUCAGCUGAAGCUUCGAUCAAUGGAUUUUGUGAGCCAACUUCUUCAAUUGCCAUGCUAUCUUCCUUGUCACAAUCUGGAAUAUCUUUUGCGACAUCCUGUGGUAAAAAUAAAAAUCAUAAAAGUUGUAUCCACCAAAGAUCUGAAGAAGGAUGCUUUGACUCUUUUCGUUUGGGAUCAUGCCUAGCCAUUUAUUGUUUACUAGUGUGUCAAAUAAGUUAAUGUUGAUAAGUUAAGUCAUUAUUCACCUCUGUCUCAACACUUUCCUCAUUAGUUUGAGCCGCGUCAACAGAUUCUCUCUCUGCCUUGUCAGUUGAAAUUUCUUGUGGAUCUGUAUUUGAGGGUUCUUCCUCGAUGGAUUUGCUUAUGUCUGGACUUGAAUCAUGUUGUAUAAUAUCCUCAGGCUUCACUUGCAAGGAGUCAAUAUGUUUCUGUACAUCUGUUUCACACAUACUUUCUGCAUUCGCCCCAUUUUCCAAUUCAGGUGUUAUUGACUCUUCGCCCCUAUUUUUAGGUUCAUCGUUAUUUCCUGAUUCCCUGGCACCGGUUUCCUCUGGAGCUUCUAUCAAAGAGUUUUGAUUGUCUUCUUCCAAACGUUCCUCAUCUUCCUGUGGAACACGUUUUGCAAUAUCCUACAAUAUGAAUACAAAGAGAUUACGAAUUGUGUAAAGUUUGGAGAAUGAGUUUUUGUUUUUCAUAUUCUUUAAGCUUGCUAUUACUUUCAUCUACAUGAUAAAAUAAACUUCAAGUAGUAGAGUUCAACUGAAAUUACCUGAGCCUCUUGAGUUUCCUCGCCUAUUGCAUCAACAAUCUUUUCUGUUAUUUUGUUACUUGAGCUAUCUUCUGGAUGUAGGAUUUGCUCCACAGUGGAACUUCUUUCAGUGUCUUGACAUGGAGCAAAUGCCUUGAUAUCCUCAGCUGCUACUUGAGAGGAGUCAAUAGGAUCCUCAACCUCUGCUACUUCCUCAAGCAACGUGCUUUCUGUGAUGUCAUCUUUUGGAGCAUCUGAUAAUGAUGUGCUUUCACUAACCUCUACCGAAUGUUCAUCCUGUUCCAGUAGUAAGCCAUCUACUUGGUUUUGUGAAUCUUCUUUAGUGUCCUCAUCUGGAGUUGCUGCAAAGUUCUGCAUCCAAGUAUAAAACAUUUGUUCAAUAUGUUUAUCUUGCAGAUAUAAAUACUUGUUAACUUUUUUCCAGCAUAACAUAGCAAUUGAUUUUUCAAAAAUUUGUCCACUAAAUUUGUGAUAAUAAAGUCAGCUUACUACUAUGAUUCUCACCUUAUCCUCAAGAGUUUCUUUCUUGAGAUCAGUUGAAUCAAGUGUUUUUGUAUAUUUUUCGUCAUACAUGGUUUCAUGAGAAUCUGUAGUCGGGGCUUGCUCUUCUAAAUGGCUUGCUUCUCUAUCUUGACCUGAAGAAGUAUCUUUAAUAUCCUCAUCUGCUGCCUGCAAUGACUCAAUAUGUACUUCUUCCUUUACCGGAGCACAUUCUAUUUUUUGCUCAUCUUCAUGCAAGUUGGCUUUUACAGUGUUUUCAUAUGCAAAUUUGGCCUCAUGGGUUGUAGUUGGUUUGUCAUCAUUGAUCUUUUCUGCUGGAGCUUCUUCGGAAGAAGGUUCUUGCAAGCCAUCCACUUGAAUUGGUGACUUAUCCUCGCUAUCUCCAUUUGGAACGCUUGUUACAGCAUCCUGUAAUGAUAAUAACUUAAGAAUUUUACAACACCCGAAGGGGACGUUUACUUUGCAUGAUUGAUAAGAUGCAUGAUUGAGUAUUUUUAUCCUCAAGAGUAGGAUUUCUCCAAUCCCACCCUUAUAAUGGGAAAUUUAUCAAGCAAAAUUAGCUCAAAUGAUGAAAAUAAUCAAGAGCCUUGGGAGUUUCAAUCCAUCAAAGUAAACAAGGUUACUAUUUUUAUCUAUCAAGGCUAAUCCUCCAAAGUAAAUGCCCCCCUAAGGGUAUUGUUUACUUGCAUGUCAUAUAACCAACUCAAAUAUCCUAAUCAGUAGUUAUGUUUGCAUCAGUAGAAUUUAGUUUGAUUCUCACCUUAUCCGUGGGAGUUUGAUCCUCCUCCCCUGUUGCAUUAUCAGGUAGCUCCUCUUUGUUAUCAUGGAUGAUUGCUUCCUCAUCAACAGAACUUGUUUCCCUGUCUCCACUUAAACGACGUGUUUCAAUAUCCUGAGUUGCUACUUGCAAUGACUUGAGGGGUUCUUCUUUCAUGAUCAAACCGCCUUCACU